rnacentral:misc_RNA from 1 species
GAAAGGGCCGCCUUGCUUGAAGCAAGGCGGCCCUUUUCUAUUGAACACCAAAAACUUAGAAAUUGACGUUUGAAGCGGCAUAUGUGGCAGCCGGGAUUCAAACGUCGAAUUCAAUCCGCUAGAGCGCAUCCCGAAAAGUGUGAAACGGUUUUCGGAAAAGAUGCGCGUCAAAACAAAGGAUUAGAGCGCCGAUCUGAUUCAAU